UCGAACGUCCUCUCUUCCUUCGGGAAGAGAGGGAGUGGCGGACGGGUGAGUAACACAUAGGUGACCUAUCUUUCAGUGAGGAAUACCGGCGAGAAAUCGCCGACAAUGCCGCAUAGGCUUCGCGCGGUUCACGCGCCAAGCAAAGUCCUUCGGGACGCUGAAAGCUGGGCCUGUGGCCGAUUAGCUGGUUGGUGGGGUAAAAGCCUACCAAGGCGACGAUCGGUAGCUGGUCUGAGAGGACGAUCAGCCACACUGGGAUUGAGAACGGCCCAGACUCCUACGGGGGGCAGCAGUGAGGAAUUUUCCGCAAUGGGCGCAAGCCUGACGGAGCAACGCCGCGUGCAGGAAGACGGCCUUCGGGUUGUAAACUGCUUUUCGCAAGGACGAGCAAGGACGGUACUUGCGGAAUCAGCCCCGGCUAACUACGUGCCAGCAGCCGCGGUAAUACGUAGGGGGCAAGCGUUGUCCGGAGUUACUGGGCGUAAAGCGCACGCAGGCGGUCUUGCAAGUUUGGGGUGACAGCUUCCGGCUUAACUGGAAGAGGACCUCGAAGACUGCGCGACUUGAGGGGUUCAGAGGGACCGAGAAUUCCGGGUGGAGUGGUGAAAUGCGUAGAUAUCCGGAGGAAUACCCAAGGCGAAGGCAUGGUCCUGGGAACCACCUGACGCUCAGGUGCGAAAGCGAGGGGAGCGAACGGGAUUAGAUACCCCGGUAGUCCUCGCCGUAAACGAUGACCACUAGGCGUGGGAGGUAUCGACCCCUUCCGUGCCGGCGU
rnacentral:rRNA from 1 species